AGCGAACGCUGGCGGCAGGGCUAAUACAUGCAAGUCGAGCGGCCGUAGCAAUACGGCAGCGGCAGACGGGAGAGUAACACGUGGGAACGUGCCCUUCAGUUCGGAACAACCCAGGGAAACUUGGGCUAAUACCGGAUACGCCCUUACGGGGAAAGAUUUAUCGCUGUUGGAGCGGCCCGCGUCUGAUUAGCUAGUUGGUGAGGUAACGGCUCACCAAGGCGACGAUCAGUAGCUGGUCUGAGAGGAUGAUCAGACUCACUGGGACUGAGACACGGCCCAGACUCCUACGGGAGGCAGCAGUAGGGAAUAUUGGACAAUGGGCGCAAGCCUGAUCCAGCCAUGCCGCGUGAGUGAUGAAGGCCUUAGGGUUGUAAAGCUCUUUCGGCGGGGAAGAUAAUGACGGUACCCGCAGAAGAAGCCCCGGCUAACUUCGUGCCAGCCGCCGCCGUAAGAC
rnacentral:rRNA from 1 species